ACGCAUCUUUAGUAGUCCCUGUGGCACCUAGAAUGAAAAAAAAAGGGCAUGCUUACAAGGUAAUGGCAUAAUCUUCUUUAAACCAACUGAUACUGUAGAGUAAGCAUUUUUCUGCCUUUCUCUCCCUCCAAAUGACUUCCUUACACAUAUUGUAAGAACAUACAGAUAUAGCAACAGGCAUUUUCUAUUGUCAGAGAACAGACUUCUCAUGAUUGUCUCAUUUAUCCUUAAUGAUUGUCUAUAUUAUCCCUUAAGUCUAUCACACUUGCAUCAGGGCCAGACUCUCAGUGGGUGAAAACAGCUGGCUGCUCACGCUGCUGCAGUGGAGCAGUGCCCAGCUGCACUCUCUCAGGACAAGAGCAACACAAGAUAAAAUUCAUCUCUCUGCAUUUCUUAUGCCUCACUUUGCUGUCUUCUGGUGGUUUUGUCUGCAGCAAAGUCACUGCAACUAACCAAGCAGUUAUUCCUGAAUGUCUGUUUAUGUUGUUAACGUGCUGUUUGACUCAGUGACAGAUGUGGCGCUAUGUGUGUAAAAUGCUGCUCCAUCCUUCCUGCCAGAGAAAAAAAGUUCUAUAAAACAACUAGACAGAUAUAAUAUAAACAUUGGGACACAAUCCAUCCAAAGCCCCAGACAUCUAAAUAAAUCAACCGCCCCCUUAAUUCAUCUUAGGGAGCGUACCACAGCCGAAACUCAGUGCAGCUUUCUGAAAUACACCUCAUACAAAAACAGUAAGAGAGCUAUGAUAAAAACAAAUUUACUUUGUAAGAUACAAGUUUUACUGGUGAACUAUUACUUUCAUAAACACAAAAAGUCAGGUUCCUCUCACUUCCACUGAUGAAGUUCUAUUGAUUUCAUGGGUGUUAUUUUCUCAUUUUACUAACAAAAAUGGAACAAGACUUUGGUUCAAAUUCACUUGAGUACCAUUAAAGUAUCUGAAUAUAGACCUGACAGUAUUUCCAGUUCAUAAAAAAAAAAAAGUUUCUUGCUGGAAGAGGUCUGAGCUUAAGCAUGAAAAUCAAUUCAGUUAGCUGGCCCAGCCCCUAUCUUUAUGUAAAAGCUCAUACAGCUUUCUUUGUUAUGGAAUCUGAACCCUCCAUAUGCACAGAUUUUAUUUCAGRAGGGACCCAAAUUACAUCCCAGUUUGUACAGACAUGUUU
rnacentral:lncRNA from 1 species